AGAGUUUGAUCAUGGCUCAGAUUGAACGCUGGCGGCAGGCCUAACACAUGCAAGUCGAGCGGUAGAGAGAAGCUUGCUUCUCUUGAGAGCGGCGGACGGGUGAGUAAUGCCUAGGAAUCUGCCUGGUAGUGGGGGAUAACGUUCGGAAACGGACGCUAAUACCGCAUACGUCCUACGGGAGAAAGCAGGGGACCUUCGGGCCUUGCGCUAUCAGAUGAGCCUAGGUCGGAUUAGCUAGUUGGUGGGGUAAUGGCUCACCAAGGCGACGAUCCGUAACUGGUCUGAGAGGAUGAUCAGUCACACUGGAACUGAGACACGGUCCAGACUCCUACGGGAGGCAGCAGUGGGGAAUAUUGGACAAUGGGCGAAAGCCUGAUCCAGCCAUGCCGCGUGUGUGAAGAAGGUCUUCGGAUUGUAAAGCACUUUAAGUUGGGAGGAAGGGCAGUUGCCUAAUACGUAACUGUUUUGACGUUACCGACAGAAUAAGCACCGGCUAACUCUGUGCCAGCAGCCGCGGUAAU
rnacentral:rRNA from 1 species